rnacentral:rRNA from 1 species
AUUGAACGCUGGCGGCAGGCCUAACACAUGCAAGUCGAACGGUAACAGGAAGACGCUUGCUUCUUUGCUGACGAGUGGCGGACGGGUGAGUAAUGUCUGGGAAGCUGCCUGAUGGAGGGGGAUAACUACUGGAAACGGUAGCUAAUACCGCAUAACGUCGCAAGACCAAAGAGGGGGACCUUCGGGCCUCUUGCCAUCGGAUGUGCCCAGAUGGGAUUAGCUAGUAGGUGGGGUAACGGCUCACCUAGGCGACGAUCCCUAGCUGGUCUGAGAGGAUGACCAGCCACACUGGAACUGAGACACGGUCCAGACUCCUACGGGAGGCAGCAGUGGGGAAUAUUGCACAAUGGGCGCAAGCCUGAUGCAGCCAUGCCGCGUGUAUGAAGAAGGCCUUCGGGUUGUAAAGUACUUUCAGCGGGGAGGAAGGGAGUAAAGUUAAUACCUUUGCUCAUUGACGUUACCCGCAGAAGAAGCACCGGCUAACUCCGUG